ensembl:rRNA 5S_rRNA 5S ribosomal RNA
GCUUACGGCCAUACCACCCUGAGAACGCCCGAUCUCGUCUGAUCUCGGAAGCUAAGUAGGGUCGGGCCUGGUUAGUACUUGGAUGGGAGACCGCCUGGGAAUACCAGGUGCUGUAAGCU